rnacentral:rRNA from 1 species
GACGAACGCUGGCGGCGUGCUUAACACAUGCAAGUCGAACGGAAAGGCCCUGCUUGCAGGGUACUCGAGUGGCGAACGGGUGAGUAACACGUGGGUGAUCUGCCCUGCACUUCGGGAUAAGCUUGGGAAACUGGGUCUAAUACCGGAUAGGAACCAUCUUUAGUGUGGUGGUUGGAAAGUUUUUUCGGUGUAGGAUGAGCUCGCGGCCUAUCAGCUUGUUGGUGGGGUAAUGGCCUACCAAGGCGGCGACGGGUAGCCGGCCUGAGAGGGUGUACGGCCAGGUGGGGACAAGGAUCCGCGCCAGACUGGUGGGGGGGGGAGUGGUGGGAAAUGUGGAACGAGGGGAGCGAGCUGGAGGCGGCGCGGCGGGGGGGGGGAGGAAGGCCGUGGUGUGUUAAACUCCUGUGGCUAGGGAGGAGGUUUUGUGGUGACGGUACCUAGAAAAGAACCGCCGGCUAACGACGUGCCAGCAGCGGGGGUAUUAGUCGCAAGGCAUACGUCUGAGC